CUGGGAUAGGUGGAGUGCUUCCUCGGAAGGAAGAAAUUCCGGGGUUUAAUCUCCAGUCUGACUGCAUUAACUGGGCAUGGUAACAGACACCUGUAAUCCCAGCACUCAAGAGGCAGAGCAGGAGGAAUUCAGUCAGUCCUGGCUACAUAAGGAGUAUGAGAGCAGUUUUGGCUACAUGAGACCCCAUUUAAGAGACGUUGUGAAGUUACUUGAGGUUGAGGCUCCCUUUACUUGUGAGAUUGGGUGGACAAGGAAAGUUCAGGGUCCCAGUGGGAAAAGCAGAAACUGUCGGAAGAGGGGAGGCAUGGAGCCUAUGUAUGUAAAGAUGAAGAGGGUGGCUAGGGUGCGUGGUCAGAGAGGUUAAACAGGAUAUGAGCAGGAUAGGCAUGAGAUGGGCUGGGGCUCAGCAGUCUCUAAGUCCCUUAGAAAGGAGGGUAGAGGGGCGAAAGCUUGGAGCUGGAGAUGCCAGUGAGAAAGAUGAAUUCUCACUCGUGGCUGAGUGUGCUAUGUGGGAGACACAAGAGACAGAGCGGCUAGAAUGGCAUAGGCUGCUGUGGCCAGGACAACGUGAAAGGAAGGGCAGCGGAGAACGGACCGGACACCCCCGCGGACAGCCUGGCGAACCGAGCCAUGGCCCGCAAGAACCACAAGAAAACUCCAGUGCCUCCAGCGGCUGCGCAAAGCGGCGGAGACUGAGGGACUGGAGGCAAAUCGGACGAUGUGCGGUGCUUCUACAGAUUCCUCAGAUGCCGCCAGCCGACAUUCCAUUAUUUAGAGGAUGGGCGGCAGAGGCUAUGUAGAUGGUUUUGCGAUGUGGUUGAUGGCCGCCCAGGACUGACUCUGGGCUGUAGAGCCAGCCCCCUCUUGGCCUUGGAGCUGGGGAAGAAUCUGAACCAGAGUGGCACUGCCUGAGAGGAGCAGCUGGCCGGAGCCAAGGGAUCUGCAGCCUGGAGGCAAAUGCUUGCCGUUGUCUUAAAGUCCUAGAGAGCACUAGAAUAGUGUCAACUAUAACGGACUUUAGAAACCUAAGGUAGCUGAGGACAGUGCCACUUCAAUGUACCCCUCUACAUGACAUCACUUUCCUAGCCAUCACCGCUCUACUGGUAAUGGAGGCCACCCUUCUGCUGUGGUAUCAUGUUAUCAGUAUCUUUUGGACUCAGCCUCAGACACUGAUAAGGACGACAGUUGUGCCCUUACUUAGCCUCCCAACAGCAGCCCAACACCAGCUUCUCUUUAGAAAAUACUCCACAAGGCAGUAAGUCGGCAAGCCUGGUUUCAUAGCGCUUGCUGUCUCUUUCAAAACCAGCCAAUUCGGUGCCUCCUGUUGGAGCCUGCUUUUUCUUAAAAACUGGCCUCAGAAUUUCAACCCGGGUCAUCAUUUUAAUUGGGCACAGUAACUCCCUUUGCUGUUAAGUAUAAUAAAAUGCAGUUUC
rnacentral:lncRNA from 1 species